AAUGUUAUAACACCAUCGGAAUAAUGGCGCCUCGAAAGUCCAGUGGUAUAGCAAUUGCGUGUAACUUAACUUUAACUUUAUAACUUGUUCGACUUUAGUGUUUAAUUUCAUAACAAAAGUUUAUAUCGACGAACGCGUAGGAAACAAUGUAAGGAAGUUAGUAAGUUAGUCAGAAGAUGGCAGCAACGAACCAUGUCGUCGCUGGUGUUAAAACCACCGAAGAAGAAAAGCCCGGACGUUUAUACGGAUCACCACAGAGGAUUUUCAACUGUAAAUGUUCCCAGCUGACUUUUGGGCGAAAGGCUGGCUACGCCCCGGACUGGGCGCCACCCAAUCGCAGGGCCCAUUGGACGUGAGCCCAGAUUCAAACCCGGGUCCUCUUGACUGUGCGGUGGACGUGCUAACCACUAGGUCACCGUGCUGCCUUCUGACUUCUUUGUGAGCAGCGUGUCGAAACGGCGGUCAUCGGCAUGAAUGGCAAUGACAUCAUUGUCAGCCUUGCCGCUUGCAUGGAUGCCUUUAUUAAAUCACAGUCGAUCGUGCGUUGGCCCUGGCUGAAUGAUCCAAUUUAACUUCACAUUAGCAUCAGGGUGGCGCAGGAAAAACAAUACAGGGAUUGACUGGGACGCAUAAUUGAAAACAAAAUGCAUUGCUCAAGGGCACUUUGGCAGUUUUUGGCAAAUCUUUUUCUGACAGAAUAAGUAAGGACGCAAUCUUGUCUGUGGGGUUUUAUCAUUAAAAAAAUAAAUAAAGAAAAGUCUUUGCAAAGAGAGGAAAAGGUUCAAGUCUUACAAGUUGUCACCCCUUGACAGAAAACCCCUUCGUCAGAUCGAAGUGAGAGAGACAGAGAAGGAAAGCAAAACAAUUAUCUUCGUCCAGCUGCACUCGACUUAUCUUUAUCGAAAAACAGCUCGUCGUCACAACAUGGCUGGGAAAAAUGAGUACGCACGGUAUAGCUAGUAGUCGCAACAUAGCUAGGAACAAUUAGUACGCGCACAGGGCUAGUAGUCACAAUGUAACAAUAAAGCAUGUGAAGGUUGUAUAAAACUAAUGAAAGUCAUAUUUGGUAUAUAUCAAACAUACAUUUUCCAACUCAGUGCGCAGACAUUUUGGGGGGGCAGGUGCAAAAGGACACUCAUCGGCAAAAUUAUUUCGACAAUUAAGAAAAAAAAUAGUAUAUAAUUGAUCUUGAUAUUUAUUUCUAUUCACACAAUCAACACAGACAAUAAAACAGCUAUUAACAAAGGGGCUGACUAUUAACAAAUGUCAGGUUUUUGAGACAUUCAAAAAUGAGACCAAGAAAAAGAAUUUACUCGUGCACUCCACUUUUUUUCACUUUCAGUUAACCUAUGACCUGUACAAUUCAACUAAAAAAAGAGGGGGGAAGUACUAAUUAACAACUAAAAUGACGUGGUUGCACAAGGGCACACACCCUCUUAUAAAUGGGGAUGUGGCUGUGUUCAUCAGUAAGCAAUCACAUUCAAACUCAUGUUAAAUGGGGGUCAGCACACACCUGCCAACAGUUAAAGUGCCUCCGAUUCACCCCAAAUAAAUGAAGGUGGGAGCAUAUGUACAAUUCCCCCAAGGACUCAAAUAAAUGGCCCUCAAAUAUCAACACACACUGGAUGGAAUUGAUGAAGAAGAAAAAAGGGGACUUUUUCAUCUAGGGCAAAAGGGCAGGUGCUUGAGCACCACCUAGUGGCUAUGUGUGCACGUGGCGUUUGGCCACAGACCGAGCUGCUGUUGCCGGGUCGACAACACGCAAUACUGUACUCUCGAGCAAAAAUAUUCUAAACGGGUUCAAAUUUUAUUCUAAUUGUUUUUAUCUCGUAACAGUGUUCUAGUCAGAAGAAUCGCAAUAAGCUCAUCAAUUCCAAGAGGGCCCAAAAUGUAUGGACUGAGGUAGCCAAUGAGCGCCGGGCUAAUGACCGUCAAGUGAAGUUGUUGUUGUUUGCCACACAGAAGCAGAGAAGUGAUAAUCCUCCAAGAAUGCGCACUUGUUUCAAAAAUGGGAAACGCUUAACAAGUGGAGACAAAGAAACGAAAGAAUGAAACCAACGCGGCCCUCAGCCCGUGCUCAAUGGAUUGCUUAUGUUUUUGAGCUUUGGGUUCGAGUUGUGUAAACAGGCCAGCUUUGCAAAGUGAUUUUGUCUCGGCAAAGACCGAAUAAAAAUCUUGCAAUGUGA